rnacentral:rRNA from 4 species
AGAAUUUGAUCCUGGUUCAGGACGAACGCUGGCAGUGUACCUUAAGCAUGCAAGUCGAACGGUGAAGCACUUGGCCGCAAGGCCUUGUGUGGAGCAGUGGCAGACGGGUGAGGAAAGACAGGAAUCUACCUUUUUGUGGGGAAUAGUCCCGCGAAAGCGGGAUUAAUACCGCAUAAGUCCGCAAGGAGAAAGGCCUUAACCGGCCGCAGAAAGAUGAGCCUGUUCGCUAUCAGCUAGUUGGUAAGGUAAUGGCUUACCAAGGCUAUGACGGCUAGGGGGUGUGAGAGCACGGCCCCCCACAAUGUUACUUAGACACGGAACAUACAUCUACGGAUGGCAGCAACUGGGAAUUUUGCACAAUGGACGAAAGUCUGAUGCAGUGACACUGCGUGUGGGAUGAAGGCCCUCGGGUCGUAAACCACUGUGAUAGGGGAAGAAAUUUUGACGGUACCCUAUUAGAAAGCGCCUGCUAACUACGUGCCAGAAGCCUCGGUAAUACGUAGGGCGCAAGCGUUGUCCGGAUUUAUUGGGCGUAAAGAGUAUCGUAGGCGGUUUGUAAAGUAUCGGGUUAAAGCCUGGGGCUCAACUCCAGAGAUGCUCGAUAAACUAACAGACUAGUGGGUGUUCGGGGUUGCUAGAAUUCUUGGUGGAGGAGUGAAAUCCAUUGAUAUCAAGAAGAAUACCAAAAGCGAAGGCAGGCAACUAGAACAUUCCAGACGCUGAUGAACGAAAGCUAGGGGAGCGAAAGGGAUUUUAACUAGUCCCAUUACGUAGUAAUGCGUAAUUUAAGAACUGGCUAUAUCGGUGAAAGUCCUUGCAGUUUCGGUUUAUCUUCGGAUAUACUGAGUAAGUGAGGAAAACACCGAGGGAAGUUUUUAGCUAUAAGAAGAGUAAAUUUUGUUUAAACAAAAUUCAAAGGAGUGUUUUGAUUGGAACAAUGUUAGGAGAUGGUGGUUUGAGAUUUAGGGGAAAGAAUUGUCGUUUGCAUAUUAAACAUAGUCUUAAACAACUAAGUUUGGUAAAUUACAAAUGGCGUAUUUUUGAACCAAUUAUUUCGAUGAAAGUACGAUGUUUUAGCCAAAAAGUCGGCAUAAAAGACUACAACUUUGCCGAGUUUGUGACUUUAACCCAUCCUAUUUUU